rnacentral:lncRNA from 1 species
UAAAAAUGUGAGACUUACUAGGAUUUUACAGUUCACUAAGAGUUUCAAAAUAGCUUUUGAAGUUAUCAUCUUUUAUCUAGGUAUAUUACUGAUUUUAAAUCGAAUUUCAAGUGACUGUUGCUCAGUGAUUUCUAUGACAUAGGCUUCUAGAUGGGGCCCUACAACAAUGGUUUCUGUUUGUCUCCCUGUAGGCAGAGUGAGAAAGAAUUUUGGGGUUCUAAUACUUCCAGAAAAUACUUUAUCUUAGGAAUACAGCCUCUGCAAUUAACAUCUUCCAGCUUGCUGCUUCAUAUUGGAAGGAUACACUUGCCAGCAUCUCUACCACACUCCAAACAAGGAGAAGGUUCCUUUGUAUCAAGAAAGCAGAAGCUUUCCAAGGAAGCUCACCCAGCAGACUUCCACUUACAUCUCUCUCCACUCCCAUGAGGCCACCCUUGGACAGGUUACUAGAGAGAAGAGGAUUGUGGAUCCAGAGAGGUAACGAGUCAAGAAAAGCAAGAGCUCCUCUGCUCAGAGCUAUGUGAACAGCAGAUGCCAAGACAGCUGAUGGGGUGGAGUGAACAGCUGAAUUGGGUUUGAGGUUAAAGUGUUCAAGUAACAGCACUGAGUCUCAGAAGCUAAAUGAGACCAACUGGUCGAAAGAGAUUGAUCAAAAUAAAUAAAAUCUGAAAUGAAAAAAGAGAGGUUAU